rnacentral:rRNA from 1 species
AGCUCCAAUAGCGUAUAUUAAAGUUGUUGCGGUUAAAAAGCUCGUAGUUAGAUUUCUGGUACUUUCAGCCGGUCAACCUAGUUGCACCUGGCAUUGAGAGGACCUUUGCCUUACCUUGUAUUGCACUUGUGCUUUACAGAGUUUGGCCUUACUUUGAGGAAUUAGAGUGUUUCAAGCAGGCUACUGCCUUGAAUACAUUA